rnacentral:ribozyme from 1 species
GUCAAUCAAAAUCUCAACCUCCACGUGGUGAUUGAUGGAAAUAUUGUUAUUUAUUGAAAAAAUAAAUAAAUUAAUAGCAAUAGCUAAUGAGAU